UGGGGAAUAUUGGACAAUGGGCGCAAGCCUGAUCCAGCCAUACCGCGUGGGUGAAGAAGGCCUUCGGGUUGUAAAGCCCUUUUGUUGGGAAAGAAAUCCAGCCGGCUAAUACCUGGUUGGGAUGACGGUACCCAAAGAAUAAGCACCGGCUAACUUCGUGCCAGCAGCCGCGGUAAUACGAAGGGUGCAAGCGUUACUCGGAAUUACUGGGCGUAAAGCGUGCGUAGGUGGUCGUUUAAGUCCGUUGUGAAAGCCCUGGGCUCAACCUGGGAACUGCAGUGGAUACUGGGCGACUAGAGUGUGGUAGAGGGUAGCGGAAUUCCUGGUGUAGCAGUGAAAUGCGUAGAGAUCAGGAGGAACAUCCAUGGCGAAGGCAGCUACCUGGACCAACACUGACACUGAGGCACGAAAGCGUGGGGAGCAAACAGGAUUAGAUACCCUGGUAGUCCACGCCCUAAACGAUGCGAACUGGAUGUUGGGUGCAAUUUGGCACGCAGUAUCGAAGCUAACGCGUUAAGUUCGCCGCCUGGGAGUACGGUCGCAAGACUGAAACU
rnacentral:rRNA from 1 species